rnacentral:lncRNA from 1 species
AAAACUCACCUGGUUGUCCGCAGAAGAUUCCGACGAGAAAUUAAUAUGAGUGAUUAAUCAGCCGACAGAAAGAAAAAUCCCAGAUCUGGCAAUCCUUGGAAUCGACGACAUCAGAUAUGUAAAAAUAGCAGAUAUUUGCAGUAAGAACAAUGGUGGAAAGAGAGCUAAAAAGGAGGAAACUUGGAGAAGAAGGUGGAGAAAAACUAAACUAAAAUAAACAAAACGAAACGAAAAACUGUAGUCGUUUAGAAGAGGAGGAAGUGGAAAGAAGAAGAAGAAGCUUACUUGAAUCUUCUUUUACCUGAAGCUUACCGCAUUUAUAAACCUUGAAACCAACGAGUUCUGCUCUCCAUUUCCACCUUCUUCUGCUUUCCAUUCUCUUUGGAAGAAACAACCGAAACAUCAUCUGCACCUCGUCAAUGAAGGAGAAACCGCAGGCCGAACAACCCCUGUAGAAAUGGAGACUGACCAGAUCCGUGAGAGUAUCCCUCUCGAUGCAGUGCUCAUUUCUGACGGUGGGGGUUUGUAAAGGAA